AACACUGUUAACCUGCGGUACCUGCGGAAGGAUCAUUAUUGAAUAAAUCUGACAUGGUUGUAGCUGGCUCUUAGGAGCAUGUGCACACCUGUCACCUUUAUCUUUCCACCUGUGAACCCUUUGUAGUCCCAGGAUAACCUCUCGCGCACUCUGGUGUUGCGGAUGCGAAGGUUGUUGUGCCUCUGGCCAGCUCCCAUCGAAUUUCCUGGGUCUAUGUUUCUUAUACACCCCUGUAUGUUA
rnacentral:misc_RNA from 1 species